AAUGGGCGCAAGCCUGAUCUAGCCAUGCCGCGUGAGUGAGGAAGGCCCUAGGGUCGUAAAGCUCUUUCGCCAGGGAUGAUAAUGACAGUACCUGGUAAAGAAACCCCGGCUAACUCCGUGCCAGCAGCCGCGGUAAUACGGAGGGGGUUAGCGUUGUUCGGAAUUACUGGGCGUAAAGCGCGCGUAGGCGGAUUAGAAAGUUGGGGGUGAAAUCCCAGGGCUCAACCCUGGAACUGCCUCCAAAACUACUAGUCUAGAGUUCGAGAGAGGUGAGUGGAACUCCGAGUGUAGAGGUGAAAUUCGUAGAUAUUCGGAAGAACUCCAGUGGCGAAGGCGGCUCACUGGCUCGAUACUGACGCUGAGGUGCGAAAGUGUGGGGAGCAAACAGGAUU
rnacentral:rRNA from 1 species